GAAGUCAAACCCGUUCUGCACAAUGAAGAAGCAGCGUAAGACGGAGGCAGCACCACAAUGUGAGCUAAAAUCCUAUUCUAAGAACACCAUGGUGUUGGGGCCUGAACAGAAGAUGCCAGAUGGUGCUGCUGCUGAAGACUAUGGCGACUCUGCCAGUCUUGGUGCCAUCAAUCCUGCCUACAGUAGCUCCUCUCUUCCGCAAUCCCCCAGGACAUCAGAGGAGCCCUUCACCACCUACUUUGAUGAGAAGAUUCCCAUUCCUGAGGAGGAGCACUCUUGUUUUAGCUUUCGGAAACUCUGGGCUUUCACGGGACCCGGCUUUCUUAUGAGCAUUGCCUACCUGGAUCCAGGAAACAUCGAAUCUGAUUUGCAGUCUGGAGCAGUGGCUGGGUUUAAGUUGCUCUGGGUUCUUCUGUUGGCCACCAUCGUGGGGCUCCUGCUGCAGCGCCUUGCGGCUAGACUGGGAGUGGUCACUGGGCUGCAUCUUGCUGAAGUUUGUUACCGUCAGUACCCCAAGGUCCCACGAAUUAUCCUGUGGCUGAUGGUGGAGCUGGCUAUCAUUGGCUCAGAUAUGCAAGAAGUUAUUGGCUCAGCCAUUGCCAUCAAUCUCCUGUCUGUAGGAAGGGUUCCCCUAUGGGGUGGAGUUCUCAUCACCAUUGCAGAUACUUUUGUAUUUCUCUUUUUGGACAAAUAUGGCUUGCGGAAGCUGGAAGCAUUUUUUGGCUUUCUCAUCACUGUUAUGGCCCUCACUUUUGGAUAUGAGUAUAUUACAGUGCGACCCAACCAGAGCAAGGUGCUCAAGGGCAUGUUCCUGCCAUCCUGUUCAGGCUGUGGCACCCCACAGAUCCAGCAGGCUGUGGGCAUCGUGGGAGCUGUCAUCAUGCCACACAACAUGUACCUGCAUUCUGCCUUAGUCAAGUCGAGACAGGUAAACCGAGCCAAAAAGCAGGAAGUUCGAGAAGCCAAUAAGUACUUUUUCAUUGAAUCCUGCAUUGCUCUCUUUGUUUCCUUCAUCAUCAAUGUUUUCGUCGUCUCGGUCUUUGCCGAAGCAUUUUUUGAGAAAACCCACCAGCAGGUGAUUGAAGUCUGUAAAAAUAGCAGCAGUCCCCAUACUGGCCUCAUUCCUGAUGAUAACUCAACACUGGCUGUGGACAUCUUCAAAGGGGGUAUUGUGCUGGGAUGUUACUUCGGGCCUGCUGCACUCUACAUCUGGGCCGUGGGGAUCCUGGCCGCGGGGCAGAGCUCCACCAUGACAGGAACCUAUUCUGGCCAGUUUGUCAUGGAGGGAUUCCUGAACCUCAGGUGGUCACGCUUUGCCCGAGUGAUUCUCACCCGCUCUAUUGCCAUUAUCCCGACUCUGCUGGUUGCUGUCUUCCAAGAUGUAGAGCAUCUGACUGGGAUGAAUGACUUCCUCAAUGUUCUGCAGAGCUUACAGCUUCCCUUUGCUCUCAUACCCAUCCUCACGUUUACGAGCUUGCGGCCAGUAAUGAGUGACUUUGCCAAUGGAAUAGGCUGGAAGGUUGCAGGCGGGAUCUUGGUCUUUGUCAUCUGCUCUAUCAACAUGUACUUUGUCGUGAUUUAUGUCCAGAGUCUUGGGCAUAUGGUUCUGUAUGUGGUGGCUGCUGUGGUCAGUGUGGCUUAUCUGAGCUUCGUGUUUUACUUGAUUUGGCAAUGUAUGAUUGCUUUGGGCAUGUCCUGCCUGGAUUGUGGGCGCACGUACCACGUGGGAUUGACAGUUCAGCCUGAACUCUACCUUCUGAACACCGUGGAUGCCGACUCACUUGUGUCUAGAUGACUGACAGCCUGCGAAACUGUAUAAGAACCAUUUUCUCGUAGUCCAAGUGCCCCUUAACAUACCUCUGUUAGUUCAGAGGGUCUUCCUGCACUGGCCCUCCCUCUUUACCCAAGCUUAUGUGGUAAAUCAGAAUCCUGCAUACUUUUCUCCAUGUGUGAUAACAUCAUUGAAAUACGUUGUCUCACGAUUCUGGAGACUGGCAGUCUGAAGUCAGGGUAUCAGCAGACCUGUUACUUUCUGAAGGACAUGAGGGAGAAUCUACUCCACGCCUCUCCUGGCUUCUGACAGUGGCUGUGUUCUGUGGCUUGUUGAUACGCACUCCAAUCUCUGCCUCCAUCGUUACAGGGCAUUCUCUCCCUGUCUGUUCCCUGUGCUUCUUAGACAGAAUUCUUACCUCUUGCCUUCCUCUUGGAUGUUGGUGUUCCCUGCAGUUCUGAUCUCAACUCUUUUCACACCUGUUGCUUCACUGGUAAGCAAGUUAGAUUUCUCUUCUGAGUGUGAGGUCCCAUGUAUAUUCAAUGUACUGUAUGUGCUAUUUCUACAUUUCAUUGGAGAGUGGUCUCCAAACUUAAAUAGUGCAUAAGUAAAGAGUUGAGCAUGCCCCUCAAGAUGCACAUUUGUUUAUAAACAGUAUACUAGUAAAUGUCCCAUGAUCAGCCUAUAUAUUGGUAAAGUUUUUAUUUUUAAGAUAAAAAUAUUUUCUUCCCAUAUCCCCAUGGAUCUCCUUAUAUAUCUCAUAGGGUAUGAGUACUCUAAUUUGGAAACACCUGUCAUAGGCACUCAGUCACUAUAAUAUAAAAUUAAGAGUUCAGGCUCUGGAGUAGCUUUCCCAUGUGAUUGUAAACAAGUAACUUAUUCUCUCUAAACCUCAGUUUCCUUAUUUGUAAAAUGGAAUAAUAACAGUACCUACCUCAAAGAGUAUUGUUUAAUAAAGACUGGUUUUUGUUCAAAAUUCCUGGUAUAAAUCUAAAAUCCUUGGAAUUUCCCAAGUAACAGGAUUGCCUUCGUUAUUCAUGAGCUCCUUGGAGUAUACUUUAAUUUAUGCUAAUUAAGUGACUCAUGAUGGGCUCCUAGAUAGAUUCAAGAUGUGGCUAGUCAGACCAACCAUGUGACCACAGGGUUCUUAGACCACCAGGGAGAGGAGUGGGACUGGAGAUUGAGCUCAGUCACGUGGCCAGCGAUUCAAUCAACCAUCCUAUAUAAUAAAGAGCUAAUAUGCUAAUUGACCAAACA